AUAAAAGAGGCCCCAGAGAGUUCCAUCAUCCUUUCCAUCAUGUGACAACACAGUGAGAAAAUGGCUGCCUGUGAACCAGGAAGUAGGCCCUCAGCAGACAAGGAAUCUCCUAGCACCUUGAUCUUGGACUUCCCAGCCUCCAGAACUCUGAUGGACUGCUCACAAUUCCCUGAGGCAACGCUAUUAUAUCAAAAAUGAGGUUGUGAGAGCUAACUGAUUCAUUCAAAAUCAAGUUAAAGGCAGAGCUGGAAUUGAAGGAGUUGUUCUUAAGCAUUCUAAACGAAGUGAGAGUAGCUGUCUAUCUCCUGUAGUGCUAUGUAUUUCCAGUCAUCAUCCAGAACAACAAAAACUGUAUCUGGUUUGUAUUAGUUAGGAUUGAAGCUCAGUUGCGGUCACAAAGGGUUCAAACAAUACUGUGGUUCAAAGGAGUUUGUUUCUUACACUACAGUCCAGCAAGAAACAGGCAGGGCA
rnacentral:lncRNA from 1 species